GAUGAACGCUAGCGGCAGGCUUAAUACAUGCAAGUCGUGGGGCAGCAUGAGUAGCAAUACUUGAUGGCGACCGGCAAACGGGUGAGGAACACGUACACAACCUUCCUUCAAGCGGGGAAUAGCCCAGAGAAAUUUGGAUUAAUAUCCCAUAAUAUAUUUGAUAAGGCAUCUUAUUAAUAUUAAAGCUUCGGCACUUGAUGAUGGGUGUGCGGCUGAUUAGAUAGUUGGCGGGGUAACGGCCCACCAAGUCUACGAUCAGUAGCUGAUGUGAGAGCAUGAUCAGCCACACGGGCACUGAGACACGGGCCCGACUCCUACGGGAGCAGCAGUAAGGAAUAUUGGACAAUGGACGAAAGUCUGAUCCAGCCAUGCCGCGUGAAGGAUUAAGGUCCUCUGGAUUGUAAACUUCUUUUAUAUGGGACGAAAAAGGGCAUUCUUGUCACUUGACGGUACCAUAUGAAUAAGCACCGGCU
rnacentral:rRNA from 1 species